rnacentral:rRNA from 1 species
GAUGAACGUCGGCGGCGUGCUUAACACAUGCAAGUCGAACGGGAACUAAGGGGUGCUUGCCAUCCUUGGCAAGAGUGGCGAACGGGUGAGUAACACGUGAGCAACCUGUCCUUUUCUCUGGGAUAAGCACCAGAAAGGGUGUUUAAUAACUUAUGUUCUGUCUGCCUUGUAUGGGGUGGGUGGGAAAGGCCUUGGCCGGUUUUGGGUGGGCUCGCGGCCUAUCAGCUUGUUGGUGGGGCGAUGGCUUACCAAGGCUUUGACGGGUAGCCGGCCUGAGAGGGUCGUCAGUCACAUGCGGACUGAGUUACAGCCCAGACUCCUGCGGCCAGCAGCAGUUGGGACUAUUGCACAAUGGUCGAAAACCUGAUGCAGCGACGCCGCGUAACGGAUGGAGGCCUUCGAGGUGUUAACUUCUUUUGCUCUGGACAAAGCAUGCCGGUGGGUGAGUUGAGUGUAGGGGUUGAUUAGCGCCGGCUAACUACGUG